UGUUGAAAGAAUUUCCCUGAGGGGCUGGAUGCAAGGAAAAGAAAGCAAGUGUACAGAGCUUAUAGUGAAGAAGAGAUUCUGGAGCACGUCCAGCGUUGUCAAGCACUGGUUUCCUGUGUUGCAGGAAGAGAAACUUUUCUGUGUGACCCAAAGAAUCAGAUUCUGUCUUUCAACAGAAGACCACUUAUAGUACACGGUGAGGCUGGAUGUGGAAAAAAAGUGUCAUCAUGGCAAAGGCAGCAUCUUUAGCUUAUAACUGGAUACCAGGGGACCUCAGAGUUAUUAUUCGAUUUGUUGGUGUCACUCGUGAAAGCAGAAAUAUCCGAUAAGUUCUUUUAAGCCUUUGCUACCAGAUUGCUGAUAUUUACAACGUCUUCAUCAAUUUAUCUGAGGUAACAAAAAUAA